rnacentral:rRNA from 1 species
AACUCUCAACAACGGAUAUCUUGGCUCUCGCAUCGAUGAAGAACGCAGCGAAAUGCGAUACCGUCAAUGUGCAAUUGCAGAAUUCCGUGAAUCAGCGAAUGUUUUGAACGCACAUUGCGCCCGAGGCUUCGGCCAAGGGCAUGUCUGCUUGGAGCGCC